rnacentral:lncRNA from 1 species
UCUUUGGUAAUGACCUUUUCAGAGAAUCAAAACAGCAGUUUAAGACUGCGAUGUAUCUUCUUCGUAUAUCGGGCUUUUGAUAUUUGUCUCCAUUCUUUUUAUCAUUUUAUAUUUAUUAAAACACAUAAAACCUUUCCUUAAAAACAUCAAUGAUAGAAUCACGAAUACAAUCACUUUUUUAGUGUAAGAUCGAGAAGACGGUAAUAUGAAUGCACAAGUGACUAACAGAACGAGGGUUAAUACCUAUAGCACUGGUGUUAAACUGAUCAUCGUUAUAGCAGUUACGGUGAUCCCAACAUGGUG